GAUGAACGCUGGCGGCGUGCCUAAUACAUGCAAGUCGAGCGAACAGAUGAGAAGCUUGCUUCUCUGAUGUUAGCGGCGGACGGGUGAGUAACACGUGGGUAACCUACCUAUAAGACUGGGAUAACUCCGGGAAACCGGGGCUAAUACCCGAUAAUAUUUUGAACCGCAUGGUUCAAUAGUGAAAGACGGUUUCGGCUGUCACUUAUAGAUGGACCCGCGCCGUAUUAGCUAGUUGGUAAGGUAACGGCUUACCAAGGCGACGAUACGUAGCCGACCUGAGAGGGUGAUCGGCCACACUGGAACUGAGACACGGUCCAGACUCCUACGGGAGGCAGCAGUAGGGAAUCUUCCGCAAUGGGCGAAAGCCUGACGGAGCAACGCCGCGUGAGUGAUGAAGGUCUUCGGAUCGUAAAACUCUGUUGUUAGGGAAGAACAAAUUUGUUAGUGACUGAACAAGUCUUGACGGUACCUAACCAGAAAGCCACGGCUAACUACGUGCCAGCAGCCGCCGUAA
rnacentral:rRNA from 1 species